CUUCCUCUGAAUUCUGAAGCUUUCCUCUCUGUGCUGCCUGCUCUACCACUGACCACCAUGAAGGUUUUGGUGUUCCUGGCACUGGUGGCAGUUUCCACCUUCCUGGUUUCUGGCCAGGAUACAACAGAAGUUCCUGCUGAUUCUUCUCCUGCCUCUGAUACAACCACUGUUGAUCCCGCCACCACCUCUGCUGCCGCCACGGAGUCCACGGCUGCCGCCACAACCACCGCUGCCGCCACAACCACCGCUGCCGCCACAACCACCGCUGCCGCCACAACCACCGCUGCCGCCACAACCACCGCUGCCGCCACAUCCACGGCUGCUCCCACCACAUCCACUGCGGCUGCCACAACUACCACUGCUGCCAAGACCACCACGUCCUAUGAACAGUGCCUCCUUUAUUUUCAGGAUACAACAGAAGUUCCUACUGAUACUUCUCCUGAUGAGUCUGUACUUGCACUUCAUCUCCUUCCUGCAAUGACCAUUU
ensembl:lncRNA